GAAGUCCACUUCACACUUUCUAAAAACAGCAUUAAGAAUAGCUCCAGACAGGAGCCCAGAGCAGUUUGAACAACUUGGGAACACAACUGAGUCACAGUUUUGACUUUUUUUUAGGUCAAGACUUUUCAUCUAAAUAAGGCACAAGAGAAGCUGGUGUUUUAAGCCCUUGUGACAAGAUGAAAAUAGCUCCCAGCCUCCCUCCUCUCCACUUUUCCACCUCCAACACCUGACUUACAGAAGUCACCAAGCCUGUGACCAAGGACCCAUAAUUCAAAUUGUGGUUAAGGGAAUACCAGUCAAUGAGGCUCCUGUGUUAGCGCUGGCCCAGCAAGUGAGGACAGGCUCCAGCCACUGGGCUCUGGCUUGGUCCCACAGACCAAAAUGUCUGAGAUGUGAAAGACAGUAUAUGUAGGGCUCUGAUCACCAGCCCUGCAAGGGCACCAGCUGACCAAACUGUGACAGCACUGUGGCCUUGGAGAAACCCUGCAUCUGUCUGACAAACAAAAGUGACUGCUGCUUCUAGAGCAUGUUCCCAGUACAAAAUUACAUUAGAAACUCACCACUGAGGCCAGGUGCAGUGGCGCACGCCUGUAAUCCCAGCGGCUCAGGAGGCUGAGACAGGAGGAACAUGAGUUCAAAGCCAGUCUCAGCAAAAGCAAGGCACUAAGCAAUUCAGUGAGACCCUGUCUCUAAAUAAAAUACAAAAUAGGGCUGGGGAUGCGGUUCAGUGGUCAAGUGCCCCUGAGAUCAAUCCCUGGUACCAAAAAACAAACAAACAAACAAACAAACCUCACCACUGAGGUCAGAUUGGAAAGAGCAAUAUUCCUAAGCAGAAGGACAAAUUGGAGCAAACACUGACUCCCCUGGUCAAAAGUUCCACUAAACUGCACACUUUCAGGACAGGUCUAAUGCAGUGCCCAUGGCUCCCAGGAGCCCUUCCAGGAAGAGUGGAUCCUCUGUGUUCAAUGGAAUCAGUUGUGCUGUCUCAGAAACACAGCCAAUGUAUCAGAACCAGUAGCUGAGGAAUUUCAGAGCACACUUUCUUUAUCUCUAAAAUGGGAAUAAGGCCCCUGCCCUUUCCCCUAGUUUACUGCAGUGAAUACAGGAAAUACUUUGAAAGCAUCUAUUUAUUUAAGGAAUCUGACUAGGGCUAAAGUGGUGGAGGGGGUCUUCCUCUCAGCACUGUUGUGACCAAGUUGAAAGCAGUUAGAACCUGAAAGUACACAGAUGUGAAGUGUUUCUUUUGAUCAUGAAAGAUGGUAUAGUCAUCCCUCCAUAUCCACAGGGAAUUGUUUCUAGGACCUCCCCCAAAUCUACAAUUGCUCAAGUCUCAUAUAAGAUGGUGUAGUGUGUGCUUAUAACUUACACAAUCCUCCCAUAUACAUUAAAUCAUCUCUGGAUUACUUAUAAUGUCUAAUACAAUGUAAAUGCUAUGUAAAUAGUUAUACUAUAUUGUUCAGGGAAUAAUGACAAGGGAAAACACAGGCUGUAUAUGAUUAAUACAGACAAUUUCUUUUUCCAAAUAUUUUCAGUCCCCAGUUGGUUGAGUCCAAGGACACAAAACCCAUGAACACAGAAAGCUGACUUCAAACUGAAAGGACCUUCACACCUUCUUCUUUCUGUCAUGGUAUUGAAAUGUGACCCUUCUGUGAGGGUAAUGUUGGAACAAUACCACUGGAAGAACAUUAACUAUCAUACCAAGUGGCUAAGUGUGAUCUCAAUAUUCACAUCUGAGCAGUUAACAGUGAAGAAGUGGAAAACUUUCACCUUUCCUAUGCAAGUUAAAAUAGAAUUGACUCCUAUGUAUUCCUCUUUGAAAAUAAACUCUUUGGGUCAUUUAUAUGGUAGGAGGACCUGGCAAAUCAGUGAAUCAGCCAUGAGCAGGCUCUGGGCCAGGCAUUUCAUUGACAUCAUUUCAUUGAUUCCUUUCUUCAUUGCCAUGGGGUCAAUAUUAUUCCCAUUUUACAGAUGAGGCAGCUGAAGCCCAGAGACAUUAACUUACUCAAUAUCACAGGCAGACACCUGGAUUUCUCCAGUAGCAAAGACAAAGAGGCAAAGAGAAUUGCGCUUGGGGCCAACCAAUAGAAUGACAGGAAGACUGUGUCUUGUUGCUGUUUCUUUUCUCCUUUCUGCCUUAAAGUGGGAACAAGCUGGAGACAUCUAGGAAUUACCAUCCAAAACUGGUGCAGGGUCUGGCUGCACAGGAAUCAAAUCAGCUCCAUGAAAUGAACCCAGCUGUGCCCCACUGUGGGGGUAAACGAGAAUGACAAUAGGUGGUUAAAUGGAUAGUUUUCAUCAAUUACAUGGGAACUUAGCUCUCCAAACUAUCGCUGUCCUUUCCAAAGUAGUCACCCUGGGAGACUCUACUUAUUCCAACAGUGGAUGGCAAACCUUGGCACAUUGGAAUCAUCUGGGAAGUUUUAAAAUACUGAUGUGUGGUCCUACUCACCAGAGACAUAGAGUGAAUCAGGCAUGUGGGGCCAGAGCAUGGGGCGUUUUCAGAUCUCACCAGGUGAUUCUAACAGGCAGAGGGCUGAGAAUCACCUUGCCAAGCCUUUGGGGAACUCUUCUUGCAGAAAUGCCUUUGAUAUCUGGACAUUGCCCUUUUUGGAUCAUUUCAAUGAAUUGCCUAGGAGAAUCCACAGCUGGAAACUUAGAUCAUUUUUAGAGCCCUCCAGCUACUGGGCCAUCUACACUCGUAAAGACUUUCUGAAAGGCACAGACAGCAUCAUCUCCUCGGAAGCAGCAAUGCAUUUCUGCCACCUGAAUUCCGCCACUUCACACUCAGUCUCUACAAGAUGCAUCGGGAUAGAUUUGAUGAUUCACUUUGUGGGGAAUAGAGUUCAUAUACAAUGAGACUAUUCUUUGUCAUUUCAUCCAGUGGUGUACUACAGAUUUUAGUGUACCAAGAUAAUUGCCCCAAGACAACAUUUCAUAGAGCCACAGCACUUGCUGGCCAGAGAUGGGGAUAGGUGGAAUAGAGGAUUGGGCAUUUGAGUGAGAUAGAAGGAAGAGAUCAAGUCCAACCUCUCUGGUCUCAGUUCUUGAAAGGUAUCAUUGGGACCUGGAAGGAAGCAAGACUGUAUGAUUCCCAGUGGUGCCUGAAGAGAGAGCACAUGAUCCCAGGUGGUGCUGCGAGUAGGAGGUUGGGAGAGGGGAUAGGGUUAGAAGAUGGGGUCUGAUCCCACGUGGGCCAAUCAGUGUCAAGGGAUGCUGCAUGAGCUUGGUCCAACCCCAUAAGUCAGAGGUGGAUGUGAUGGGCAUAAUGGGCAUGAUGGGCAUCCCCCAAUCCACACAGAAUCUGCUGACAAUUUGGUAUUUCAAGGGUGACCUUGCUCUUUGCCACCUGAGAGAUAAAAAAAUACAGCAAACAAGAGGACUUGCCACCCACCAUGGAGAAAACAAUUUUGUUUUCACUUCUCUAAGCCCAAAAGAGCAAAAACAGGGAAGAAGUGGGGCUGGGGUUGUGGCUCAGGGGUAGAGCGCUCGCCUAGCAUGCUUGAGGCACUGAGUUCAAUCCUCAGCCCCACAUAAAUGCAAAAUAAAGAUAUUGUGUCUACUUAAAACUAAAAAUAUAAAUAUUUUUAAAAAAAAACAGGGAAGAAAGAGGCUGGAAAAGAGCAUGUCCUGGGAAUUGACUACAGGUACUGCAGAGGGAGAGAGCACCUGUAACCUGAUAUGGGAAAAUGUGUUUUGCUGCAAAAUCACAUAUUUGUGGAAGUUUACAUUGAAUAUUUUUGAAACAGUAUAAAGCCCAUAUAUUUUAAGUGUAUUCUAGUUGUAAAGUAUGUGCACAUCUAUGUUGAAUGGCUUUCUCAUGUAAAAAUGCUGUACUUCACAAAUUUCUUAUCUGUAAGAAACCGGACAUUCUACAGAACAUCUCUUUUAUUAUUUUCUGACGAAGCAGCUGUGUGUUGAACUGCCACCGUAUUAAAGUUGUCAUAUUUCUUAUUUCACGCUUUUGUGUAUUUUACACAAUACGCUUUAUCCUGAUGCCACAAUAUUUAGACUCUGAAUUUCUCCUCUCUGUGUGUCUUGUUAUGUAUAAGUUUAAAAUAUGUAAAUUGCUUGCCACAAUUUUUUGACCUUGAAAUUAUAUCAGAAUAAGAGCUGGACGCGGCACUACAUAGCUGUAAUUCCAGUGGCUCUGGAGACUGAGGCAGGAGGAUUGUGAGUUUAAAGCCAGCCUCAGCAACUUAGCAAGGCCUAAGCCACUCAGUGAGACCCUGUCUCUAAAUAAAAUAUUUUAAAAGGCUGUA